GCUCGGCCCCAGUCCCGCGGGCGGAAGGAGCGCUGCCGGGGGGAGGUCGCCACUCUCACCCCAGGCCCCGCGCCCGAGGCUGCCCUCUACGGCUCGGGAGCCGCCCCGAGCCCCGCCGCCCGCCUGCCUCCGCCCGGGUCUCAUCCUUGGGGGUGGCGCGGAGCUGCCGCGCCCUGGGGGAAAGUUCGAUCUGCGGACUUCCUCUGUGCGUCCAGCCUUGCGGAGGAGGCUGGGGGCCUGGGAGGUCUUGCCCUCUGGGAGCCGAGAUGGGGGCAAAGGCAGGGACACCCCUCCCGGAGGCGCGAAAUCCAAGGAGGAAGUGACACUUAUCAACCAUCCUGACAGAGGGGGCGCCCCAUCCGGCCCCUCCCACCCCACAGUCCCAGAAGCCACCGUGCGAGGGAUCUUCGCGCCCCAGGCUCGGAUGGGAGAGACCCCCCCAGGAUGCCGAGGGGAGGCGAUGGGGGCACAUUCAGGCCUUUGGACUGUCCUCCACCUCGGCGCUGAUCUUUGUCCCAGUAAUCACAGGUUUGUACGAUCGGGUCCGUCUCCUUUGGAUGGGGAUGAGAGCCGCUCACGAAGGAUACAACUUGCAGAACUGUGGACCACGUGGACUCCAAUCUUCACAAUUCAGUGAUGAACACACUCCAAGGAUGUUGAAGUGUCUAGUAACUGUCCAGGACCAGGAAGUUGUGAGUUGUGGAAGUUCAACAAAAGCAAACUACAUGGUUCCUACCAUCAGGAAUCUACAAUCUAUUGGGGAAGCAACAUUAAGACUGAAACAUUUGAAAUAACAUUGAAAUAACAAGACAGCACUGCAGGUCAUCAGAUGCUAGACAGCACGGUACAGAACUGACUCUUAGUGGAAUCCUGAAACGGGAGAGAGGAGUGAAGGAUCGAGUGUUUGGGGCAGGGCAUUGUGGAUAAGGCGAGAUGUGAGCUACAUCUUGAAUGAUGGAGAAUAAGAAUCAUAUUUAACAUCUAUUACGUGAUUACUAUGUGCCAAGCACUGUCCUCUGACUUUACUUACAUUAACUCACUUAGUCAUCAAGGUAGCUAUUAUCUAAUUUUACAAAUGAGGGAACAGAGAGGGUAAUAACUUGCUCAUCGUCACACAGCUAUCACAUGACUGCCCUGGGGUACAAACCCAGGCACUCUGGCUUCCGCCCACACUCUUAUUAAUAAUCACUGCCCCUUCUGUCUGCCUGGUAGCAAGAGCCAAGGGCCAUUUUCUGGUCAUGAUUAAAUUCCAAUCUGUUUCUUAGGUUAUAUUUUUACACAGAGCCACAAUGAACCCCAAACAUUACAGCUCUGGCUUCAUUACUGUGAUGAGUGCCUUAUGGGUGAAGUUACUGAUGAGAAAUUAAAAGUACUUUGCAAAGAACAGCACCAGCCUUAGUAACAGCAGAGAAAGUCUGCACAUAAUGAAGAGG